rnacentral:lncRNA from 1 species
CUUUUCGAGGUAGGAGUCGACUCCUGUGAGGUAUGGUGCUGGGUGCAGAUGCAGUGUGGCUCUGGAUAGCACCUUAUGGACAGUUGUGUCCCCAAGGAAGGAUGAGAAUAGCUACUGAAGUCCUAAAGAGCAAGCCUAACUCAAGCCAUUGGCACACAGGCAUUAGACAGAAAGCUGGAAGUUGAAAUGGUGGAGUCCAACUUGCCUGGACCAGCUUAAUGGUUCUGCUCCUGGUAACGUUUUUAUCCAUGGAUGACUUGCUUGGGUAUGGAGAGUCGGCUUGACUACACUGUGUGGAGCAAGUUUUAAAGAAGCAAAGGACUCAGAAUUCAUGAUUGAAGAAAUGCAGGCAGACCUGUUAUCCUAAACUAGGGUUUUUAAUGACCACAACAAGCAAGCAUGCAGCUUACUGCUUGAAAGUCUUGUCUUAUUUUUUGAGACAGGGUCUUGCCUCACCCAAGCUAGAGUGCAGUGGCCUUUGAAGCUUACUACAGCCUCAAACUUCUGGGCUCAAGUGAUCCUCAGCCUCCCAGUGGUCUUUGUAGACUGCCUGAUGGAGUCUCAUGGCACAAGAAGAUUAAAACAGUGUCUCCAAUUUUAAUAAAUUUUUGCAAUCCAUCUGGA